CGAUUUGGGAUAAGUCCCUUGGAAAAGGGCAGCACAGAGGGUGAUACUCCCGUCUUUGCUCAGAUUGUCUAUGUGUACGAUACGCUUUCUUUGAGUCGAGUUGUUUGGGAAUACAGCUCAAAGUAGGUGGUAAAUUCCAUCUAAAGCUAAAUAUUGGUGCGAGACCGAUAGCGAACAAGUACCGUGAGGGAAAGAUGAAAAGAACUUUGAAAAGAGAGUUAAAGAGUACCUGAAACUGUUGAAAGGGAACCGUAACAUGUCCAGUGUUGUAUCUUGUGCAUAUUUCAUUAGUGGAGUAAUUUACUGGUGCCCUGUGCAUGAGUGUGACGUCAAAGUCAGUUUGUAUGCUGCGGGAGAUGGUUAGCAAGGAGGUGCGUCACUUUGUGUCAGUUAUACCUUGUUAUCUAGUAGCCGUGGUUGAGACUGAGGUGCCUACAACAUGCUUAUAGAGUAUAUUGUUGUCUCGUUAUUAUAUCUGUUUGGAUAGCUUGCUAUGCUGGUGGACUAUAGUGGCGAUUGAUGAUGGUAUUAACUUUUUGCUGUUCGGGACUUUGACGAAAUGGAAUGUUACGACCCGUCUUGAAACACGGACCAAGGAGUCUAACAUGUGUGCAAGUAUUAGGGUGUGGAAACCCAAAUGCGUAAUGAAAGUAAAUGCUACCUGUGUAGCUUUGGUAGGAAAGGGCUGUCAUGGUCCUGGCACUAUCGACCGAUCAUGAACCUACGGGUGAAAGAUUUGAGUAUGAGCAUAUAUGUUGGUACCCGAAAGAUGGUGAACUAUGCCUGAAUAGAGUGAAGCCAGGGGAAACUCUGGUGGAAGCUCGUAGCGAUUCUGACGUGCAAAUCGAUCGUCAAAUUUGGGUAUAGGGGCGAAAGACUAAUCGAACCAUCUAGUAGCUGGUUCCCUCCGAAAUUUCCCUCAGGAUAG
rnacentral:rRNA from 1 species